UAAAAGUUGAGUUUGGUGAUGGCUCUGAUUGAAUGCUGUCCAAGUGCUUGACACAUGCUAAUCGUACGUUUUAAUUGAUAAAUUAAAAAGUGGUGUACAGGUGAGUAUAAUGAUAUUCUUCGCCGGCCUUAAAGUGGAGGUAAAUCCUUCAUAAUAAAUAAAGGAAACAUAUAAUAAAAAAAAAUUAGGGUAUAGACAAGGACAAGUGUUGAGGGGGGGAAACCCUCAGCAAGUUGACUCCCUUAUAUAUUUUUUUUUGCUCUUUUUUUUCUGCUUUAAGAGGAUAAUAAAUAUCUUCGAGAUAGGUAGUAGUUAAGGUGAUGACUUAACUAGCCUUAAACUCUCGUAGUCGAAUCUGAAAGGUUGAUCGACCACAUUGGGUCUGAAAAAACCCCAAUGCAAGUUAGUACAGCAGUGAGGAAUCUUGGUCAAUGGCCUAACGGCUGAACUGGCAACUUGGAGAAGUGGCAAGUCUUCCAGUAUGGGGAGCAAACAGCUAUGGGUCAAGCCCGAUACCUUUAAGAGAAGUCUUAUUGUGAGGGCGAGUUGUAUAACACCAUAGGGCUGGCCGUCCCAUAUGAAAAGAUUUUAUUAGAAUUGAAUGAAACUUUGUUUAUAUAUUGAUAAUGACAGUAUAUAUAUCGUGUCUUGACUAAUUGCGUGCCAGCAGUCGCGGUAAUACGUAAGAGACUAGUGUUAUUCAUCUUAAUUAGGUUUAAAGGGUACCCAGACGGUCUAUAUAGCUUAUAAAAUGUUAGUAUAAGACUAGAGUUUUAUGUAAGAGGGCAGUACUUGAGGAGGAGAGAUGAAAUUUCGUGAUACCAAAGGGACUCUGUAAAGGCGAAGGCAGCCCUCUAUGUAAAAACUGACGUUGAAGGACGAAGGCACAGAGAACAAACAGGAUUAGAUACCCAAGUAGUCUUUGCAGUAAAUGAUGAAUGCCAUAGGUUAGAUCUAUAUUUCUAUUAUAAUAAUACAUUUCUAUUAUUUAUUAUAAAACGCAUUCCUUAUAUAGCUUCGCGCUAUAAUAUAUUUUAUAUAUAGUGCAGCAGAAAUUUUUGUAUCUGGUCUAUAAAUGAAAGUGUAAGCAUUUCACCUCAAGAGUAAUGUGGCAACGCAGGAACUGAAAUCACUAGACCGUUUCUGACACCAGUAGUGAAGUAUGUUGUUUAAUUCGAUGAUCCACGAAAAACCUUACCACAAUUUGAAUAAUUUUAUUACAGGAGUUGCACGGCUGUUUCCAGUUAAUGUUGUGAAACUGUGGUUUCCAUGAAAUUAACGUAAUCCCUGGCUUUAUUUUUUUUUAUUUACGAUAAAGCAUUCAGUCCUGGAAAUUUGGAAAGAAAAAGGGGACAAAGACAAGUCAUCAUGGCCUUGAUAUUGUGGGCUAUAGACGUGCCACAUAUACCUAAACAAAGAGAUGCGAAAAUGUGAAUUUAAGCUAAUCUCAAAAAAUAGGAUAUAAAUUUUAAGGAUUGUAGUCUGAAAUUCGACUAUAUGAAUAAGUAAUUACUAGUAAUCGUGAAUCACCAUGUCACGGUGAAUAGACCUUGGAUUGGUACUAACCACUCGUCACAUGCUGAAAGGGGCAUGCGCAAUAAGUUUGCUUUCUUAGUAACAAGUAAAAAAAACAAAUAGGUUUUAUAUAUUCUUUUAUUGGGAAUCUUCGUAUGCGUGGCUCUAAUUAGUGUUAAGUCGAAAUACGGUUCGGGUAGUGGAAGUUGCCCGGGAUUAAUUAAUAUU
rnacentral:rRNA from 1 species